rnacentral:rRNA from 1 species
AUGAAGAAACAGACUGCAGUUUCUCGUUCGAGUGCAGAGGCUGAGUUGCGAGCUAUGGCUCUUCUCACGGCAGAGGUGACUUCGUUACGUUGGUUACUUGAGGAUUUUGGUGUCACUGUUACUACACCUACUACACUCUUGUCAGACAGUACAGGUGCUAUCAGUAUUGCACGGGACCCAGUGAAGCAUGAGUUUACCAAGCAUAUUGGUGUUGAUGCUUUCUUUGUGCGCGUUGGUGUGCAGGACCAUGUUAUUGCUCUUCAGUAUGUGCCUUCCGAGUUACAGCUAGCGGCCUUCUUACGAGGGCCCGGACCAGAGCGCAACAUGGAUUUUACCUCUCCAAACUCAGUGUUGUGGAUCCACCAUGAGUUUGAGGGGGGGUGUUAG